rnacentral:lncRNA from 1 species
CAGCUAACGACGUUAUCAUGAACCUGGACCCUUUGAUCAUUAGGGCUUUUUGCCUCUUGAGGUUCACACUAUAUAUAGGUGACCAGACCAAUAGAAAAACAAUUAAGUAAGAGAAAAGAGCAAAAGAAGAAGAAGUUGUGAUGGCUUCCUCUAUGCUCUCCUCUGCCGCUGUGGUUACCUCCCCAGCUCAAGCCACCAUGGUCGCUCCAUUCACCGGCUUGAAGUCAUCCGCUACUUUCCCCGUCACCCGCAAGGCCAACAACGACAUUACUUCUAUCUCAAGCAACGGCGGAAGAGUUAGCUGCAUGAAGGUAAUGUCCUAUAAAAACUGUAUUUUGUCAUGUGUAAUUAGUGAAAUUGAACAAAACUUAGAAUAAUUGGAAUUGGGAGUUAUAGGUGUGGCCACCAAUUGGAAAGAAGAAGUUUGAGACUCUAUCUUACCUCCCUGACCUUACUGACGUCGAAUUGGCUAAGGAAGUUGACUACCUUCUCCGCAACAAGUGGAUUCCUUGUGUUGAAUUCGAGUUAGAGGUAAUAAACACUGGACCUUUCGUUUGUCUCUAAUCAUUAUAUAUUAUUUUCUUACAUAGCUAAAAACCAAAGUCAAUAAGCUUAUUUUCGUUUGUCUCUAAUCAUUGUUCAUUGAAUGGAUUUCGUAUUCAUUUAUAGCAUGGAUUUGUGUACCGUGAGCAUGGAAACACACCUGGAUACUACGAUGGACGGUACUGGACAAUGUGGAAGCUUCCAUUGUUCGGAUGCACCGACUCCGCUCAAGUGUUGAAGGAAGUGCAAGAGUGCAAGAAGGAGUACCCUAACGCCUUCAUUAGGAUCAUCGGAUUUGACAACAACCGUCAAGUCCAGUGCAUCAGUUUCAUUGCCUACAAGCCCCCAAGCUUCACUGAUUCUUAAUUAAAUCCUUUCUGGAAUAUUCAAUGUUGACUAUCCGGAACAAUUUUGUAUGGUCAAUGUAAAUUUAAGUAACUAUUAUCUAGCCAACUUAAACGUUGAGCAAUUGUUUUGCGAAAAGUGAAAAAGUUGAAGGUUUAUUUUCUAUCAUUUCCUCUAUAAUUAUAUCUAUUCAUAUCAUUUCAUUUUUGAUCUUAUCACUUUGAACUCUUUCAUCUUCGAUUUAGCUCUUUUAAGCAACAUUUUAUUUCCUUUACAUUUCCCUCCUAAUUUUUGCUUUUGAUUCUCUAGACUAACCUAUAAUAGAAGAGAGACCUUUUUAGAUACCUUUUUGGAAAAACUUUGCACAUGAAAUCAUAACAAAGAUGCCUCAAUAAAUCAAAUCUCGAAAGGGCCAGUACCUUGUGACUUAGAUGGAUGGGCUAGGACGAUCUCGCUUUCGAAAAAAAGAUUUAUUUGAUUUUGCUGUGGGUGGAGCAAUGUUGACUACCUCCGCACUAUUUUCUUGAACGGUUUUGGCUAUUUUGUACCUUGUACGCGCUUCUGCUCACGGGAAAUUUGUGAGCUUUAAGUUGGUAUUGUGGAUCCAUGACCAUAGCUUCUUCCUGUGGCCUUAGGGAGAGUUCUUGCCUCGGUUCCACACCGUCCAUUGAAGUGUGCUAUGAAAAUUCCCCACAAUCUGUCAUGUCUUCCAUGCUUAAGUUGACAUGGUGGAAAUCAUCUUGAGGUGCCACAUUUUAAGUGGGCCGUACGUGCAAUGGUGUGGUGCUCCGAAAGGAACGGUAGCAUGGGUUCCUAUAGCAUUGGAUCGUUUUCUAAACAAUAUGCAUUAUGUGUUUAUAAAUUUUAGUAAUUGUACAUACAUGUCCCAGUUUAAAAACAGAUUAACAUACAUUAUAAUUUUAAGGGCUGCCUAUAGCGUUACACCUAUACUAUAGCGUUUCAACUCCUAUCCACCUGUACUUUCGACCUCUGCCCAAUUCACCUUAUACUUGUUUUAAACUUCCUAAUUCCACCUAAACUAUUAAAUUCUCCAUAAUUAACCAAAAUCAAGAACUCUCUAUAAUUGCGAUUAAAAAUCGUUCAAAUCGCGUUUACUGUAGGCCAACCCGAGUCAGAUCCGACCAGCUUCGAAGACUUCUUUCACCAUAAGGGUUUGACUCGUGUUCAUUUGUUUUGUCGGGUCAACCUCGGAUUAAUAUAAACACAUAUUUUUUUACUGCAAUUUGAACUAUUUUUAAUCGUAAUUAUAGAGAGUUGGGCAGAUGUCGAAAGUACAUGUGGAUAGGAGUUGAAACGAUAUAUAUAGUAUAGUUGUAACGCUAUAGGCAGCCCUAAUUUUAAUAAGAAUGAUAUAAACUCAACUAAACUUCCUCUUCUUAGUUUGAAACUUUGCAUGACCAUUAACUCUCUUAUACUGCAUAAGACAUAAUUAGUGACAUAUUUUUUUCUUUCUAUUAUCAAUAUUUUCGUUAGCAUGUACUCGUUGUAAGAUGAAUAGAGAAAUAAUUGAAUUAUGAAAUAACGAAAUCAAUGUAUAUAUAUAUAAAACAAAAACAAUUUUACGCUGAACAAUUUUUUUUUAAAAAAAGGCAAAAAAAUUGCUUGUUUCAUAUUAUAGGAUGUUUUGGACCUUUUUUUUUGUUUCACAAUAUAUAAUGCUUUGAAGAAAAAAUACAAGUUUCUAUGUAAAACAUUAAAUUUAAUAGAUUAUUGACUAUUUACAUUAUGCAGUAAAUUAUAUCACUGAUUAAAUUAUUUUUAAUAGAUAUUAAUUUUUGUUUUAAUGUUAAAAACUCAAGAUUAGUUAAUUUCUUAAACUUUGUGCUUUCAUCUUUUUUUUUAUCUUUUUUUUUUGUCAUCCGAAAUUAAUUAUACCUCAAAAGAGAGAGUAUUAUUUGAAACAAAGAGAGUAUUAUUUAGCAGAUAAAUGACUUUUAUCUGAUUUAAUUAUAAUUUUAAAAUGUGCGGGAUGAAUUAAAAGAUCAUUUAUCAUUUUUCACGUUUUGUUUUUUUCCAGUUAGGUUUUUGUGAAUGGUUUUUACUCAGCGUAAUCAUGUUUUAAGAACAAGAACGUGAGAAAGUUAACAAAAUACCGUUGCAAGACUUUAUUUUUGUUUUACACAAAAUGUAGUUUUAUAUUUUCAAAGUAGUUUUUUUUAAUAGAAUUUACUUAUAUUCUUUUUAGUUAAGAUAAUCAAAUGGGAAAAUAAAAAUAUUAAUGUGUUAAUACAAGAUAAUAGAAAUUUAAUCAUUUUAAUAUAUAUGUAAAAAGUAUUCAACCGAUAUUUACAAUUAGACAGAACUAAGAAGUAUUAAAUUUCUCACCUCACCUCCCAAAAGAAAGGAGCCAAAAGCAACCGAUCAAGUGGAGACCAGUACUAGCCAUACACAUUCACUCGUUCCCUUACAAGAGAAAGAUAAGAUUAUGGAGUUUUCUGCCACUUGGUCUUAUCCUAGUGGUCCGAAUUGAUAAGGGUUUCAACACCUUUCCUUAAUCCUGUGGCAAUUAACGACGUUAUCAUGAAUUAUGGCCACUUUGAUCAUUAGGGCUUUUUGCCUUGCAGUUCUCACUAUAUAAAGAUGACCAAAUCAAUCGACAAACAAGUAAAAGAAACAACAAGAAGUAGUGAUGGCUUCAUCUAUGCUCUCCUCUGCCGCUAUGGUUACCUCCCCAGCUCAAGCCACCAUGGUCGCUCCAUUCACCGGCUUGAAGUCAUCCGCUGCUUUCCCGGUCACCCGCAAGGCCAACAACGACAUUACUUCUAUCUCAAGCAACGGCGGAAGAGUUAGCUGCAUGAAGGUAAUGUCCUAUAAAAACUGUAUUUUGUCAUGUGUAAUUAGUGAAAUUGAACAAAACUUAGAAUAAUUGGAAUUGGGAGUUAUAGGUGUGGCCACCAAUUGGAAAGAAGAAGUUUGAGACUCUAUCUUACCUCCCUGACCUUACUGACGUCGAAUUGGCUAAGGAAGUUGACUACCUUCUCCGCAACAAGUGGAUUCCUUGUGUUGAAUUCGAGUUAGAGGUACUAAACACCGAACUUUUCCUUUGUCUCUAAUCAUCCUUUAUUAUUUCUGUUCAUUGGUAGAAACAUAAGUCAAUAACCGGAUUUUAAAACCCGAAAUAGACUAUAACCGUGUGACUCCUCGACUAUCAAUGGUAUUGAAUGGUUUUGUCAUCUGUUUAUAGCACGGAUUUGUGUACCGUGAGCACGGAAACACUCCCGGAUACUACGAUGGACGGUACUGGACAAUGUGGAAGCUUCCAUUGUUCGGAUGCACCGAUUCUGCUCAAGUGUUGAAGGAAGUGCAAGAAUGCAAGAAGGAGUACCCUAAUGCCUUCAUUAGGAUCAUCGGAUUCGACAACAACCGUCAAGUCCAAUGCAUCAGUUUCAUUGCCUACAAGCCCCCAAGCUUCACCGAUGCUUAAUUCCCUUUCUGGAAUGUUCAACGUUGACUAGUAUUUCGGAAUCCAAUUCUAUGUGGUCAAUGCAAAUUUAAGAAAUUAAUUAGCCGACUUAAAAGUUGAGGAAUUAUUGUGUGAAAGUGAAAAAUUUGAAGGUUUUUUCUAUCAAUUUCCUUAUAAUUAUAUUUACUCAUUUGAUUUCAUUUUUUUUCUUCUAGCUCUUUGAGCUCUAUUUUUCGUUUAGCUCCUUUUGACAACAUUCCGGUUCAUUUAAAUUCUCCUCAUUAUUCUUGCUUUUGAGAAAUUGGCUACAUUGUUUCGAGAAAUUUUGCACAUGAAAGCAUAACAAAGAUGCCUCAAUUUAUCAAACCUCGAUGAUUUAGAACAAAAGAUUAUUUAAGGGGGUGUAACCUUUUAAGAUGAAAUAGCCAUUGGAGAUAGCAAAAGGUAGUAAAAGACGUAUACACUAUAAACAAAAUCCAAAUGUAUGCUUUUAAAAUUAUAAACAUGUAUUCCAAACGCCUAAGUGGAAUAUUCAGUUUAAUUCAAGUCCAAGAAAUGGCAUUAUAUAAAGCAAGGAUCGACAAAGACUGAAAUUUGUCUAGCAUGAAGUUACUAAAUUUUGGAAAUUGUGUUCACGUUAAAAGCUGAAACUUAACAGUUAUUUAUAAGGAAAAGCAGUUAAUGUUCCCAAAAAGUUCUAAAUGAAACUAGAAACCAAAUGAUAAAGAAAACGUAGCAUCUACAUGUUUGGUUUUAGUUUUUUUUUUUUUGACAAAAAUAUUCAAAUGUUUUUAGAUUCUUCUAUGCAAACGAUAUAUAGAAAAUAUAUACAUGAUUCAAAUAUAAUACAAAUAAAAAUAAUUAUUGAAAUUACCGAACAUUUUUUUGCAUCUCCCUGAUUUACUUCCCACAUUUUCGUUUCAAAUAAAAUUCAAGAAAAAGAAAGACGACGAAAAAAAAUGACUUAAAAAGACAAGGGACAGAAGCUGGUAACUUAGAUGGAUGGGUUAGGACUAUCUCACUUUCGAAAAAUGUUUAUUUGGUUGAGGUGCGGAGUGGAGUGGAGCUUGUGAUUCUUUGCCCUAUAUGAGAGUUUUUUCGUGACCAAUUAUGGUGAUUGUGUACUUUGUAUACAUGUUUCUUCUCAUAUGGUUGAAAUGGGGGCAUUUGUGAGCUUUAAGGUGGCAGUCUUGAUCCACGACCAUAGCUUUACAUGACUUUAAGGUGAGUUCUUGCCUUGGUUCUACACCGUUGAUUGAAAUGAAUUAUGAAAAUUCCUCAUGAUCCGCCAUUUUUACAUGCUAAGUUUUUUUUUUUUGAAAAAUGCAUGCUUAAGUUGAAACGGUGGUUAUCAACUUGAGGUGCCAUAUUUGUGAUUAAGUGGGCCGUAAGUGCAACGGCGUGGUACUCAAAGAGGAACGGUGGGGUGGGUUUCACAUCGUGAUUGUGAUGUGAGUAUGUAUGUGACCAGAGUCCAGGGCCGGCUCAAAAUUAUUCGAGACCUUGUGCUGAUGUAUAAAAAUUGGUUUUUAAAUAAUAUAGUGAAAAUUUUGGACCCUCAAUCUUAGAGGAAAUUGAAAUUUUUUUUUGAGGACCCUGUGCUUUUGCUCCUCUAGCACACCCUUAGAGCUGGCACUGCCAGAGUCACAAGAUAAUCGUGAGCUGGUCUUACUUGUUGAUCGAGAGGCAGCAUUAACUCAUAUAGAAGAAACCAUGGACCUCCGACCUUGGGAGGUUUUCUUGGAAAUUCUUCCAUGAUGGAAGCUUACCGCAUGAGCAUGAUACAGGUAGAUGCAUGAUGGUUUCGGUUGUUUGCUCGAUCGCUUUCUACCACAAACAUAUCUUGCAUCUAAUUGUUGUUGCCUUGUUGGUUCUCAAAUAUUUACUCUCGAAACAGUAAGAUGUUGUUAGCCAUACGUAAAUCAGAAAUAAAAGUAUAGUUGGCUAAAACUGCAGUGAGUAUAGAAUUAACCGAUAUCAAUUUAUUCAAAUUUCCGUCUCUCUUUUCUUUUGUUGGCUAAUAUAUUAUCAUUUGAAGAUAAUAUAUAGUUUUUCCAAGAAAAGAAUAUUGACAAUUUUUUUGUGGUAAGUGAUUUUAAGAAUGACUCCAGAAUCGACAGGUUACCCAGACAAUAUUUAUCAUGGAUAAACCUAUCGAAAAAUCUUAAAAAUCAGUAUUAAUAAAACGGAAGUAGUAAUGAACUUCUAAGCUAUGCAUUACAAUACAUUUAUCUCAAUGUCGAAUUUAAAUAAUUUUCUUAGAACUCCUUUUUUAAUGCGACCUUAUUCACCAAAUCAAGUGAAGCCAAAUUAAAUCAUGCAUGGUAAAUAAAAUAUCCAAAAGCAUUAAAUUUAAGGUAAUGCGUCUGAUUUCUUUCCUCCCAAACGAAAGGAGCCAAAAGCAACCGAUCAAGUGGAAACCAAUAACCACACAUUCACUUCGUUUCCCCCACAAGAGAAGAUAAGAUAAUGGAGUUUUCUGCCACGUGGCAUUAUCCUAGUGGUCCGUACCGAUAAGGGUGUCAACACCUUUCCUUAAUCCUGUGGCAGUAAACGACGUUAUCAUGAAUUAUGGACCCUUUGAUCAUGAGGGGCUUUUUUCCUGUUGCGGUUCUCACUAUAUAAAGAUGACAAAACCAGUAGACAAACAAGUAAGUAAGAGAAAAGAGCAAAAGAAGAAGAGAAACAACAAGAAGUAGUAAUGGCUUCCUCUAUGCUCUCCUCGGCCGCUGUGGUUACCUCCCCGGCUCAAGCCACCAUGGUCGCUCCAUUCUCCGGCUUGAAGUCAUCCGCUGCUUUCCCGGUCACCCGCAAGGCCAACAACGACAUUACUUCCAUCGCAAGCAACGGGGGAAGAGUUAGCUGCAUGAAGGUAAAGUAAAGUCAUUAAUGAAAGAUGUCUUUUGUCAUGGCAAUUAGUGUAAUUGAACAAAACAUAGAAUAAUUGGAAUUGGAUUCGGGAAUUAUAGGUAUGGCCACCAAUCGGAAAGAAGAAGUUUGAGACUUUAUCUUACCUCCCUGACCUUACUGACGUCGAAUUGGCUAAGGAAGUUGACUACCUUCUCCGCAACAAGUGGAUUCCUUGUGUUGAAUUCGAGUUAGAGGUAAUAAACACUGAACCUUUCCUUUGUCUCUAAUCAUUAUAUAUUAUUUUCUUACAUAGCUAAAAACCAAAGUCAAUAAGCUUAUUUUCUACACCAAAGUUGAGGCUAUCAUUGUCCAUCGAAUGGUUUUCUUAUGUGUUUAUAGCACGGAUUUGUGUACCGUGAACACGGAAACACUCCCGGAUACUACGAUGGACGGUACUGGACAAUGUGGAAGCUUCCAUUGUUCGGAUGCACCGACUCCGCUCAAGUGUUGAAGGAAGUGCAAGAAUGCAAGAAGGAGUACCCUAAUGCCUUCAUUAGGAUCAUCGGAUUCGACAACAACCGUCAAGUCCAAUGCAUCAGUUUCAUCGCCUACAAGCCCCCAAGCUUCACCGAUGCUUAAUUCCCUUUCUAAAACAUUCAUAUAAAUUAUCUCUGCUUAUUUCAUUCCUAUUGUCUGUGUUGUUUUCUCUUUAUGAGACAUUUUAUAUCGGAUUGUCAAAUGUCUGAUUUAUGAAUAUGUAUUUUAUAUAUUCUUGCGUCUUGAUUUUUCCGAUGCUUAAUUAGGUUUAGAAUUUUUAUUGCGAUAAGAAAAUAUACAAAAAAAUCGUUAAGAAGAAAAAAAUGCGUUAGUGGUAAUAUACUACUAGAAUAAUAA